rnacentral:rRNA from 1 species
ACGUCAAGUCCUCAUGGCCCUUACGAUCCCGGGCUACACACGUGCUACAAUGGCAGGUACAGAGGGCUGCGAAGCCGCGAGGUGGAGCGAAUCCCAGAAAACCUGUCUCAGUCCGGAUUGAAGUCUGCAACUCGACUUCAUGAAGGCGGAAUCGCUAGUAACCGCGAAUCAGCAGGUCCGCGGUCGAAUACGUUCCCGGGCCUU